AUUGAACGCUGGCGGCAGGCCUAACACAUGCAAGUCGAGCGGAUGAAGGGAGCUUGCUCCUGGAUUCAGCGGCGGACGGGUGAGUAAUGCCUAGGAAUCUGCCUGGUAGUGGGGGAUAACGUCCGGAAACGGGCGCUAAUACCGCAUACGUCCUGAGGGAGAAAGUGGGGGAUCUUCGGACCUCACGCUAUCAGAUGAGCCUAGGUCGGAUUAGCUAGUUGGUGGGGUAAAGGCCUACCAAGGCGACGAUCCGUAACUGGUCUGAGAGGAUGAUCAGUCACACUGGAACGGAGACACGGUCCAGACUCCUACGGGAGGCAGCAGUGGGGAAUAUUGGGCAAUGGGCGAAAGCCUGAUCCAGCCAUGCCGCGUGUGUGAAGAAGGUCUUCGGAUUGUAAAGCACUUUAAGUUGGGAGGAAGGGCAGUAAGUUAAUACCUUGCUGUUUUGACGGUACCAACAGAAUAAGCACCGGCUAACUUCGUG
rnacentral:rRNA from 1 species